UGGGGAAUAUUGCACAAUGGGGGAAACCCUGAUGCAGCGACGCCGCGUGAAGGAUGAAGUAUUUCGGUAUGUAAACUUCUAUCAGCAGGGAAGAAAAUGACGGUACCUGACUAAGAAGCCCCGGCUAACUACGUGCCAGCAGCCGCGGUAAUACGUAGGGGGCAAGCGUUAUCCGGAUUUACUGGGUGUAAAGGGAGCGUAGACGGCAUGGCAAGUCUGAAGUGAAAGCCCGGGGCUCAACCCCGGGACUGCUUUGGAAACUGUCAGGCUAGAGUGCUGGAGAGGUAAGUGGAAUUCCUAGUGUAGCGGUGAAAUGCGUAGAUAUUAGGAGGAACACCAGUGGCGAAGGCGGCUUACUGGACAGUGACUGACGUUGAGGCUCGAAAGCGUGGGGAGCAAACAGG
rnacentral:rRNA from 1 species